UAGGGAAUCUUCGGCAAUGGGGGCAACCCUGACCGAGCAACGCCGCGUGAGUGAAGAAGGUUUUCGGAUCGUAAAGCUUUGUUGUAAGAGAAGAACGUGUGUGAGAGUGGAAAGUUCACACAGUGACGGUAACUUACCAGAAAGGGACGGCUAACUACGUGCCAGCAGCCGCGGUAAUACGUAGGUCCCGAGCGUUGUCCGGAUUUAUUGGGCGUAAAGCGAGCGCAGGCGGUUUAAUAAGUCUGAAGUUAAAGGCAGUGGCUUAACCAUUGUUCGCUUUGGAAACAGUUAAACUUGAGUGCAGAAGGGGAGAGUGGAAUUCCAUGUGUGGCGGUGAAAUGCGUGGAGAUAUGGAGGAACACCGGUGGCGAGAGCGGCUCUCUGGUCUGUAACUGACGCUGAGGCUCGAAAGAGUGGGGGGCAAACAGG
rnacentral:rRNA from 1 species